UACGUAGGGUGCAAGCGUUGUCCGGAAUUAUUGGGCGUAAAGAGCUCGUAGGCGGUCUGUCGCGUCGGCUGUGAAAACCCGGGGCUCAACCCCGGGCCUGCAGUCGAUACGGCAGACUAGAGUGCGGUAGGGGAGACUGGAAUUCCUGGUGUAGCGGUGGAAUGCGCAGAUAUCAGGAGGAACACCAAUGGCGAAGGCAGCUCGCUGGGACGGUACUGACGCUGAGACGCGAAAGCGUGGGGGAGCAAACAGG
rnacentral:rRNA from 1 species